AAUCAUUUGGAAACAUAUGAGUGCCUCGCAAGAGGAGCCCGAUGACAGGUGCUGCAUGGCUGUCGUCAGCUCGUGUCGUGAGAUGUUGGGUUAAGUCCCGCAACGAGCGCAACCCUUGUCUUUAGUUGCCAUCAUUAAGUUUGGGCACUCUAAGAGACUGCCGGUGUCAAACCGGAGGAAGGUGGGGAUGACGUCAAGUCCUCAUGGCCUUUAUGACCAGGGCUACACACGUACUACAAUGGCAGGUACAAAGGGCAGCCACUUAGCGAUAAGGCGCGAAUCCCAUAAAACCUGUCUCAGUCCGGAUUGGAGUCUGCAACUCGACUCCAUGAAGUUGGAAUCGCUAGUAAUCGCAGAUCAGCACGCUGCGGUGAAUACGUUCCCGGGCCUU
rnacentral:rRNA from 1 species